GAUCUGCAUGGAUUUGUGCUCCUGCGAAUGCUCAAAAUGCAGCGUUAAAAAUCCCCUCUGGGAAAGGAGGUGACAAAAAACCAGCGAUGCUCCCCAAAAAAUAAAGGACAAGGUGCUUACAGGCGGAGGCAUCACGCUGGAGCUGCCUGCGUUUUUCUGCUUUCAGCAUAAAACCCCAAAUUCAAGGAAACGAACCCAAGCUGGGGAUGAAGACGGCUGCUGGAAACUGCUCAAAACAGAGUCAUCAAGGGAAGCUGUUGAAUUCGAGCCGUCAGCCCUGAGGUGGGGACGCAACCCAAGCAACAGGCCAAGGGCCGGGCAAAUCCAACGGGAUUCAGAUCUACCAGAGGCUGAGCGCUGAAAUCUAGUUAUUUUUUUAUGGCAAUUACUUUCUUGGCUGGAGAGCAACCGGUUGCGGGGAA